rnacentral:rRNA from 1 species
GACGAACGCUGGCGGCGUGCUUAACACAUGCAAGUCGAACGGAAAGGCCCCUUUUGGGGUACUCGAGUGGCGAACGGGUGGGUAACACGUGAGUAACCUGCCCUUGACUUCGGGAGAACUUCAGGAAACUGGGGCUAAUACCGGAUAGGAAUCCUUGCUGCAUGGUGGGGGUUGGAAAGCUUCGGCGGUGUUGGAUGGACUCGCGGGUUAGCGGCUUGUUGGUGGGGGAGUGGCUUACCAAGGCGUUGACGGGUAGCCGGACUGAGAGGGCGAGCGGCCACAUUGGGACUGAGAGACGGCCCAGACUCCUAAGGGUGGCAGCAGUGGGGAAGACUGCUCAAUGGGUGCAGGCCUGAUGCAGCAACGCCGCGGGUGGGAUGACGGCCUUCGGGUUGUAAACCGCUUUCAGCAGGGGCGAAGCUUGUGGUGACGGUACCUGCAGAAGAAGCACCGGCUAACUACGUG